CGUUUCGAUCUUUUAUUGAGAUCAUCUUCAGGGCUCAAUACGAUCUUUUAUUGAGCCCUGAAGAUGAUCUCAAUAAAAGAUCGAAAC
rnacentral:pre_miRNA from 13 species